rnacentral:rRNA from 1 species
AUUGAACGCUGGCGGCAUGCCUUACACAUGCAAGUCGAACGGCAGCACGGGGGCAACCCUGGUGGCGAGUGGCGAACGGGUGAGUAAUGCAUCGGAACGUGCCCAGUAGUGGGGGAUAACCCGGCGAAAGCCGGGCUAAUACCGCAUACGACCUAUGGGUGAAAGCGGGGGACCGUAAGGCAUCGCGGUAUUGGAGCGGCCGAUGUGUGAUUAGCUAGGUGGCGGGGUAAAGGCCCACCAAGGCGAAGGUCAGUAACUGGACUGAGAGGAGGCACAGCCACACUGGGGCUGAGACACUGACCAGACUCCUACAGGAGGAAGCAGUGGGGAAUUUUGGGCAAUGGGCGCAAGCCUGAGCCAGCCAUGCCGCGUGCGGGAAGAGGGCCUUCGGGUUGUAAACCGCUUUUGGCAGGAACGAAACGGCGCGGGUGAAUAUCCCGCGCUAAUGACGGUACCUGCAGAAUAAGCACCGGCUAACUACGUGCCAGCAGCCGCCGUAAGAC